rnacentral:rRNA from 1 species
GACGAACGCUGGCGGCGUGCUUAACACAUGCAAGUCGAACGGAAAGGCCCUGCUUUUGUGGGUUGCUCGAGUGGCGCACGGGUGAGUAACACGUGAGUAACCUGCCCUUGACUUUGGGAUAACUUCAGGAAACUGGGGCUAAUACAGGAUAGGAGCUCCUGCUGCAUGGUGGGGGUUGGAAAGUUUCGGCGGUUGGGGAUGGACUCGCGGCUUAUCAGCUUGUUGGUGGGGUAGUGGCUUACCAAGGCUUUGACGGGUAGCCGGCCUGAGAGGGUGACCGGCCACAUGGGGACUGAGAUACGGCCCAGACGCCUACGGGAGGCAGCAGGGGGGAAUAUGGCACAAUGGGCGGAAGCCUGAUGCAGCAACGCCGCGUGCGUGAUGACGGCCUUCGGGUUGUAAACCGCUUUCGCCGGUGACGAAGCGUGAGUGACGGUAAUGGGUAAAGAAGCACCGGCUAACUACGUG